UGUUGCUACCCUCCCAUUGCUUGCUUUUACAAAGUUAGAUUCCAUCAUGAGAUUGGAAAUAGAAUUAGGGAUCUCAACCUUAGGCUUGAUGAACUUGCCAAGCACAAAGCCGACCUCCAUCUUACACCUGCUCCUCGUGAUAACCACUAUAAAAGUAGAAUUAGCCCCAAGACAUCUCCUAUAUUUGUUGAAUCUGAUCUUGUGGGAGAGAAAAUUGAGGAUGAUACAAGGAGGUUGGUGGACCUGUUGACGAAAGAAAAUAAGAAAAAAAUCCCAGUCAUUGCUAUUGUCGGCAUGGGUGGGAUAGGCAAAACUACUCUUGCUCAGAAAAUUUACAAUGACCAUACUCUUGCUACUCCUACUUUGCCAAACUAGAGAAACUUAUAUUUGAAAACAUGCCAAAUUGGGAAGAAUGGUGGUGGCAGUGGGAGGAAGAGGACAACCAGACAACAUCGUUGCUACCUUCUCUCAAGUUAUUGAAAAUUCUUAAAUGUCCGAAGUUGAGAUCUCUUCCGAAGAGCCUUCUCUGUCUUGCUACCGCUUUGAAGGAGUUAUAUAUUACCGGUGCCCCCAGCCUGAGAGAAAUACAAAACCUCCCCUCUCUUAUAGAAUUGAUCUUGAUUGAAAACUCGAGUCUGGAGAGAGUAUCCAACUUUCCUAGACUCAAACACCUACGCGUUCAUGAUUGUGAGGAAUUGAAGGUUGUGAAGGGUGUGGAUGCCGUGGAGCACAUACAGCUCUAUGAUCAAGAAGCAGAAGAGUCUCUCCCAGACUGGUUAGUACGUGCUGGUGAAGAGCAACCAUAUUUUCCUUCCCUCCACAAGUUGACUCUCUCCAACAAAAUCUAUCGCCGAGGGCUGCCCGAUUGGCCUCUGAUCUGAUGGCACAACACCCAUCUCAUGUUGAAGCAAUCAGCAAGUAUGGGCCAACGACAAUCAACUGUACAAGAAAAAGCUGCUUCAGCAAGCCAGGGAUGGAUGUUAUACUACUCGGCAACUGUUUGAUAUUAUGCAUCAUUCUCAUCCUUUCAGAGAAAGGAUCGAUGACCGCAAGAUGAUGGUGUUCCAAACUUCAUUAUUUCACCUGCUUGGCCGAUAAAAGUUAGCAUCAUGGACCAAACCUCAUGAGAUCAGUGUAUCAGACUUGGGAGUAUUAGACAUUGGAAAGAUGCAAAUGAAAGUAUGGAGUCUGCGAGCAAGCAGAUUAACGAAUUCUGGGACCAUAUGUUUUGGGGAUUUGACUGCGGAAAUCAUGUUCGACGCAUUAUUACCACAUUUGGAUGGACAAGGAUUCGAAAGAAAUAACAUUUUUUAGAGUAUUUGCAUGAAUGCAUGACCAGAUGGAUUCAUGAAUACAUAAACCGUAUUUUGUACUUUGAUGUGAGAGCAUGUAACAGCAAAAUUCUCUCAAUUCCUUCAAGCAUUCCGCAAGAUAUUGUGCUUGUCUAUGUAACAAAAAUGUGAUAGAGAAAACAUCUUGUGUGUCUAUCAUCUAUUGAAAAAGUUCUUUUGAUGCAUCCAUCAAUGUGACCAUAUGAAAACCA